rnacentral:rRNA from 1 species
GAUGAACGCUGGCUACAGGCUUAACACAUGCAAGUCGAGGGGAAACGACGGGGAAGCUUGCUUCCCCGGGCGUCGACCGGCGCACGGGUGAGUAACGCGUAUCCAACCUGCCUCUGACUGAGGGAUAACCCGUCGAAAGUCGGCCUAAUACCUCAUGGCAUCGUCUGCGGGCAUCCAACGACGAUUAAAGAUUUCAUCGGUCAGGGAUGGGGAUGCGUCUGAUUAGCUUGUUGGCGGGGUAACGGCCCACCAAGGCUACGAUCAGUAGGGGUUCUGAGAGGAAGGUCCCCCACAUUGGAACUGGGACACGGUCCAAACUCCUACGGGAGGCAGCAGUGAGGAAUAUUGGGCAAUGGGCGGGAGCCUGAACCAGCCAAGUAGCGUGCAGGAUGACGGCCCUAUGGGUUGUAAACUGCUUUUAUGCGGGGAUAAAGUGAGGGACGUGUCCUUCAUUGCAGGUACCGCAUGAAUAAGGACCGGCUAAUUCCGUG